GGGUAUAUAGCUUAGUGGUAGAGUGUGUGCUUAACAUGCACACAGCCCUGGGUUCAUUCUGCAGUACCUCCA
rnacentral:tRNA from 1 species